rnacentral:tRNA from 1 species
GGGCCUGUAGCGCAGCUGGGAGCGCAUCACAAUGGCAUUGUGGGGGUCGAGGGUUCGAAUCCCUCCAGGUCCA